AUGGGAGUGCCUCGAAAUGGUAAGGAGGCGGUUAACGGUUUGGCCGAAUCGACAUGCGGGUUCGAUUCCCGCCUCCCAUGA
rnacentral:tRNA from 1 species